CUUCAGUUAUGAGGCCAUUGUCACAACAUAUCCUAAGGGACUGAAGUUUCCUCCAAAGAAGUCUCACGGUGGAGGAAAGAGAAAGCCUGAAGCCUGUUGCCAGCAAGAAGAGGGACCUGCCUCUCAGGACACAGCACAGUGCUGCUAACUGCACAGGGAGGGAGCCGGGAGCUGAAGGUGUGCUGUGUCAGUGACAGAAUGGAAAACCAAGAUAGCAACCCUGACAAGAUCCACCCCUGAGGAUUCUGGGAUGCCUGAUCCUGCCUCAGACUGUUCCAAUGAUGUUUCCUCAAGAGACUUGCUUCCAGAACAGCUUUAGAAAGCUGCUGACCCCAGUUGAUCUUAAUUCGUCCAGCUGUACAGACUGAGCUAGUCAGAACUUCCCUUAAGCCUGAACUUUCCCAGCAUAUAGACACUGGACAACAAAAGCUGCCAGCUAGCUUUCUUUUAACUUAACCAUUUGUCCUUUCCUUUGAGCCCCCGAAAAGGAAUUCUUCAUCCAAAUUCAGCAGGAAGCAAUUAUCGGAAGACUUUCAUCUUAGUCCCUUAAGUUUGGUGGGUAGUUUUGGUCAUUUUAGGGGAUGAUUACAAAUAGUCACGGCCUUGGAUAGGGAGGAAACAAAAUAGGGAGCUUAGACUCGGGGACUUCUAUCUUUCCUUUCCUUUUCGCUGUCCUUCUUUCUUUCUUAGAUAAAUAAUAGGGGGUUGAGAAGGAAAAAAUGGGUAAUAUAGAAUUAUCAUAUAGAAGUAAUAGACUAAGAGGGUAGAUUACUGAAUCUCCUCUUCAACUUAGAGCUUUUGAUUCUUGAAUAAGGUUAUUUUUGUUUACACUGAUGUGGAUUAUUGUAUAUUGAUAAAGGUUUAAGGUUCUCAUUGGUAUAAAUCUUUGUAUAUUGAUUCAAAAUUUAAGGUUAAUUUUGUUACACCACAAUGUAUAUAUGUUUCAACACAACAGGUAUUGUGCCUCUGCAACUCAUUUAAAAAUGCAAGGCUUAGUACCAGUCCUUUUAAUAGCUGAUAUUACAAACUGUUUAAAAUAAUUAAGUUAAUUAUUAAUGUAAGUUAACAGUCAGUCAAUAAAACCAAUGCUUUUGCCAGAUACUAGUCUAGAUUAUCACAAAAAUAUACAUCCUGGGUUGAACAGAUAAUAAACAGC
rnacentral:lncRNA from 1 species